rnacentral:rRNA from 1 species
UACGUAGGGGGCCAGCGUUGCUCGGAAUUACUGGGCGUAAAGGGUUCGUAGGUGGUGCGGUAAGUUGGGAGUGAAAUCUCUGGGCUUAACUCAGGGGCUGCUUUCAAAACUGCCGUGCUCGAGUGCGAGAGAGGCCAGUGGAAUUGCAGGUGUAGCGGUGGAAUGCGUAGAUAUCGUAAGGAACAUCCGAGGCGAAGGCGGCUCGCUGGAUCACAACUGACGCUGAGGGACGAAAGCUAGGGGAGCAAACAGG